CCCUUAGAUGUUCUGGGCCGCACGCGUGCUACACUGAGUGGAUCAGCGGGUCAGGUUACGCGAGAGCGUUUCCUAAUCUUCAAAUCCGCUCGUGAUGGGGAUUGACGGUUGCAAUUUUCCGUCAUGAACGAGGAAUACCUUGUAAGCGCGGGUCAUCAUCCCGCGCUGAAUACGUCCCUGCCCUUUGUACACACCGCCCGUCGCUCCUACCGAUUGAGUGGUCCGGUGAGGCUUUGGGAUCUAAGCGAAAAGAGCGUUUCGCUCCUUUUGCUGGGAGAACUCAGUCGAACCUUAUCAUUUAGAGGAAGGAGAAGUCGGAACA
rnacentral:rRNA from 1 species